AUUGAACGCUGGCGGCAUGCUUUACACAUGCAAGUCGAACGGCAGCGCGGGCUUCGGCCUGGCGGCGAGUGGCGAACGGGUGAGUAAUGCAUCGGAACGUGCCCAGUAGUGGGGGAUAGCCCGACGAAAGCCGGAUUAAUACCGCAUACGACCUGAGGGUGAAAGCGGGGGACCGAAAGGCCUCGCGCCAUUGGAGCGGCCGAUGUCGGAUUAGCUAGUUGGUGGGGUAAAGGCUUACCAAGGCGACGAUCCGUAGCUGGUCUGAGAGGACGACCAGCCACACUGGGACUGAGACACGGCCCAGACUCCUACGGGAGGCAGCAGUGGGGAAUUUUGGACAAUGGGGGCAACCCUGAUCCAGCCAUGCCGCGUGCGGGAAGAAGGCCUUCGGGUUGUAAACCGCUUUUGUUCGGGAAGAAAUCCUCUGGGCUAAUACCCCGGGGGGAUGACGGUACCGGAAGAAUAAGCACCGGCUAACUACGUG
rnacentral:rRNA from 1 species